rnacentral:rRNA from 1 species
CAGCCGCCGCGGUAAUACGGAGGGUGCAAGCGUUAAUCGGAAUUACUGGGCGUAAAGCGCACGCAGGCGGUCUGACAAGUCAGAUGUGAAAUCCCUGAGCUUAACUUAGGAAUUGCAUUCGAUACUGGGAAGCUAGAGUAUGGGAGAGGAUGGUAGAAUUCCAGGUGUAGCGGUGAAAUGCGUAGAGAUCUGGAGGAAUACCGAUGGCGAAGGCAGCCAUCUGGCCUAAUACUGACGCUGAGGUACGAAAGCAUGGGGAGCAAACAGGAUUAGAUACCCCGGUAGUCCCUGUCUCUUAUAC